GAAUCUUCCACAAUGGGCGAAAGCCUGAUGGAGCAACGCCGCGUGAGUGAAGAAGGUUUUCGGAUCGUAAAACUCUGUUGUAAGGGAAGAACAAGUACAGUAGUAACUGGCUGUACCUUGACGGUACCUUAUUAGAAAGCCACGGCUAACUACGUGCCAGCAGCCGCGGUAAUACGUAGGUGGCAAGCGUUGUCCGGAAUUAUUGGGCGUAAAGCGCGCGCAGGCGGUCCUUUAAGUCUGAUGUGAAAGCCCACGGCUCAACCGUGGAGGGUCAUUGGAAACUGGGGGACUUGAGUGCAGAAGAGGAAAGUGGAAUUCCAAGUGUAGCGGUGAAAUGCGUAGAGAUUUGGAGGAACACCAGUGGCGAAGGCGACUUUCUGGUCUGUAACUGACGCUGAGGCGCGAAAGCGUGGGGAGCAAACAG
rnacentral:rRNA from 1 species